rnacentral:tRNA from 1 species
UUAUAUAAAGUAAAAUUUACCUUUAAUUUCGAAUUAAAAAAUUGAUUAUAAUUAAUUAAUCUAUAUAAA